rnacentral:rRNA from 1 species
CCUACGGGGGGCAGCAGUGGGGAAUAUUGCACAAUGGGGGGAACCCUGAUGCAGCGACGCCGCGUGAGUGAAGAAGUAUUUCGGUAUGUAAAGCUCUAUCAGCAGGGAAGAAAAUGACGGUACCUGACUAAGAAGCCCCGGCUAACUACGUGCCAGCAGCCGCGGUAAUACGUAGGGGGCAAGCGUUAUCCGGAUUUACUGGGGGUAAAGGGAGCGCAGACGGCUGUGCAAGUCUGGAGUGAAAGGCGGGGGCCCAACCCCCGGACUGCUCUGGAAACUGUAAAGCUGGAGUGCAGGAGAGGUAAGCGGAAUUCCUAGUGUAGCGGUGAAAUGCGUAGAUAUUAGGAGGAACACCAGUGGCGAAGGCAGCUCACUGGACUGCAACUGACACUGAUGCUCGAAAGUGUGGGUAUCAAACAGGAUUAGAUACCCUUGUAGUC